ensembl:lncRNA
CGCAGGUUCCCUGCUGCCUCCGUCCUCGCUGCCUCCACCCUCGCUGCCUCCAUCCUCGCUGCCUCCACCCUCGCUGCCUCCGUCCUCGCUGCCUCCACCUGCAGCCUCCUGGUCAGUGUCGGUCCCCCGGCUGGUGGUGCACCUGUUGGUGGGAGCCCCUUACCUGCUGUCCACCAUCUUACUGGGCCUCGUUUGCAGGGACAAGAACAGAGGUGAGAUGUUUGGAAAGCUUGUACUUGGUGGUGUUGGCCAAUCAGAUCGAUAACAGUAAAACAUUGGUGCUUCACCGCAACCGUAACACGUCCAAUCCGACCGGCUGAAGAAGCUCCGGUGUCCUCUGCAUAGCCGGCUUUGUUUAUGUCCGUCACGAACACCCACGACAUGUAAAGACCGAAUCCCCAUGAACACGUCAGCUUCCUGUUCCUCGAGUGACACGAGCCAGGCGACCCAACUGGUUUCAUUCCAUUAUCCGGUCCAAUGCCACACCAAAGCGGUUGUUUGGAGAAGAAGGUAAAAGCGGCUUUACCACCUGGUUUUAAGUUGCCUUCAUCGGGUCUGCGGCGUAUUUCAACUCGGGUUGUUGAUGCAUAUUUGUUUUGAUGGAAGCCAAAACACCUCCAGGGAACGUUUGCUGACGUCCAACCAGGUGUCGGUGGUCAAAAACACGAUGAGAGCUGAGCUAACGCUGCCUAAUGCUGUGCUAACGUACUCCGUCGGCCGGCGCGGGACGAGGAUUCUCUCCUUUUAGUCCGCGUGAAGCCGCUAGCGGAUCCUCACAGGUGAUCACGGAGACGUGACUAUGACGGUUGAUCCAUUGAUCUCUUUGUUGUCUCAGCAGCUCGGACGGCAGCGCAGAGAAGAGGAAGCAACGUCAUCAUGGAAACAGUUGCAUAGACCCUCAAACUGGUCAAACUGGGCUUCCGUAGAAACUUGACGGACUCCGUGGAGCCUGAAUCCUUCAAAACGAACAAAAACACAAGAAUGAUUCU